rnacentral:tRNA from 1 species
GGGCCUGUAGCUCAACGGUUAGAGCGCGAAGCUUAUACCUUCGAUGUUGAGGGUUCGAAUCCUUCCGGGCCCA